GGAUGUGAGGGCCAUCUGGCUGCGACAUCUGUCACGUCAUUGAUCACCAGGGUUGAUUCAGCUGAUCUGGCUGGCUAGGCGUAUGUCCCCACUUCCUCCCUCACCGUUCCAUGUGCGUCCCUCCCAAAGCUGAGUGCUCUUGGUCCAAGAGGAAGGCCUUCCCCUAAUAGAGACAGACCGGUCUUCAGUGAGGGUAUAAGAGUAGCUGUGCUCCCCUGCUAGAACCUCCAAACAAGCUCUCAAGAAAAUGAUUUUCAAGCAUAUUUUAUUAAAGACAGUGAUCUUUAUAGAAUUCUUUUACCACAUAAUUCCUUUGCAAAUCAUUA
ensembl:misc_RNA 7SK 7SK RNA